AAUAGAUACCCAGGUAGUCCACGCCGUAAACGAUGUCUACUAGUCGUUGGGGAACUUGAUUCCUUAGUGACGCAGCUAACGCAAUAAGUAGACCGCCUGGGGAGUACGGCCGCAAGGUUAAAACUCAAAUGAAUUGACGGGGGCCCGCACAAGCGGUGGAGCAUGUGGUUUAAUUCGAUGCAACGCGAAGAACCUUACCUGGUCUUGACAUAUCUAGAAUCCUGCAGAGAUGCGGGAGUGCCUUCGGGAAUUAGAAUACAGGUGCUGCAUGGCUGUCGUCAGCUCGUGUCGUGAGAUGUUGGGUUAAGUCCCGCAACGAGCGCAACCCUUUUCCUUAGUUACCAGCGGUUCGGCCGGGGACUCUAAGGAUACUGCCAGUGACAAACUGGAGGAAGGCGGGGACGACGUCAAGUCAUCAUGGCCCUUACGACCAGGGCUACACACGUGCUACAAUGGUAGGUACAGAGGGCUGCUACACAGCGAUGUGAUGCGAAUCUCAAAAAGCCUAUCGUAGUCCAGAUUGG
rnacentral:rRNA from 1 species